rfam:Patagioenas fasciata monilis isolate BTP2013 Sc31e1R_86, whole genome shotgun sequence.
AAGCGAGAGGCACCUCGAGGACUGUCUAACCUGAGAAUGGUGAAACAUAAGGGUCAAUCUCAGGUUCGUCAGCCCAUGAGACGCCUUCUCCAG